CAGGAUUAACGCUGGCGGCAUGCCUAAUACAUGCAAGUCGAAUGGUUAGCUUGCUAACCAUGGCGAACGGGUGAGUAACACGUAGGUAACCUGUCUUCAAGACGAGGAUAACCAUUGGAAACGAUGGAUAAUACUGGAUAGGACAAAUCCCCGCAUGAGGAGAUGUUUAAAGGAGCAAUCCACUUGAUGAGGGGCCUGCGGUGCAUUAGCUAGUUGGUGAGGUAAAGGCCCACCAAGGCGAUGAUGCAUAGCCGGACUGAGAGGUUGAACGGCCACAAUGGAACUGAGAACGGUCCAUACUCCUACGGGAGGCAGCAGUAGGGAAUUUUCGGCAAUGGGCGGAAGCCUGACCGAGCAAUGCCGCGUGAACGAUGAAGUAUUUCGGUAUGUAAAGUUCUUUUAUUUGGGAAGAAAAAACAAAUUGACGGUACCAAAUGAAUAAGCUCCGGCUAACUACGUGCCAGCCGCCGC
rnacentral:rRNA from 1 species